UGUGGUCUCAUCCAACUGGCAUCUGAACGUUUCCACAUCCUUCCGUUAUUUCAAAUAGGGACAUGCCUUGCAAUCAGCAUCCUUCGCAGCAAUUAAUAGCAAGUUGACGGGAGUUGCCAAGUAAUGGAGAGGAAGUCUACUUCCAAGGAACUCAAGCCUCAACUGACUUCUAACGCCUAACAUUGGCUUCUGCACUCAAAGAGACUCAAGCCUCAACUGACUUCUAACGCCUAACAUUGGCUUCUGCACUCAAAGAGACUCAAGCCUCAACUGACUUCUAACGCCUAACACUGGCUUCUGCACUCAAAGAGACUCAAGCCUCAACUGACUUCUAACGCCUAACAUUGGCUUCUGCACUCAAAGAGACUCAAGCCUCAACUGACUUGUAACUUCCUACACUGGCUUCUGUACUCAAAGAGACUCAAGCCUCAACUGACUUCUAAC